UGGGGAAUAUUGCACAAUGGAGGGAACUCUGAUGCAGCGACGCCGCGUGAGUGAUGAAGGACUUCGUUUCGUAAAACUCUGUUCUAUGGGAAGAAAAGGACUGUACCAUAGGAGAAAGCUCCGGCUAAAUACGUGCCAGCAGCCGCGGUAAUACGUAUGGAGCGAGCGUUGUCCGGAAUUAUUGGGCGUAAAGGGUGCGCAGGCGGCUUUACAAGUUGGAUGUGAAAUAUUGUGGCUCAACCAUAAACGUGCAUCCAAAACUGCAAAGCUUGAGUUAAGGAGAGGUAAGUGGAAUUCCUGGUGUAGCGGUGGAAUGCGUAGAUAUCAGGAGGAAUACCGGUGGCGAAGGCGACUUACUGGACUUAAACUGACGCUCAGGCACGAAAGCGUGGGGAGCAAACAGG
rnacentral:rRNA from 1 species